ACAGCGUGAACGAUUAUGCCGCUGCCAGAUGCACGUGCCCAAAAAAAAUCGACAUCGGGGCUUGACGAGAUAAGAUGGGCUGAUUACCACUACCAGACAGACGUGUAAUAACAGUCAUACCAAACCGUUCAUAUGCUCUCUGCAAUACCGUUUUCAUGCUCAAUAUGGCUGAGGCUGCUAAGCAGAAAGCGUCUUCGUCCUGUACAGUGUGAUAUUUAUUAUUGUGAUGAUAUUGUGAUAUGAUAUUGUGAUCGCAGGCUCGCAGCGUAUCAUUCUGUUUUGCCAAAUUUUUCAAGCAGGCUGUUUCAUUGCGUAGUGCGUACCAUAAUUUGACGAUUUCGAUCCAGUUAGUAGCGUAGUAAACCGUCACUACCGCGUGGAAUCUAUCUAGUUCUGUCAUUCGAUCUGACUUCCGGAAAAGGAUUGUCUAACAAUUCUGAUCAUAAUUAUUUUGAGCGGAUAUAGUAGUAAUUGCGAUAUCUUGUGGAAUGUACAUCAAGGAAUGCGAUGCAUCUGUUUUAUAAUGUUUUUCUGGCAGUCUUGCAUGAAAUACUCGAUGGAUUCUGGGCAUUUCUCCUUAUACAUAAAUCCGGGAUUAAUACGGGCAAAUACGUAAAUUAAAAUCAGGUAUCCCGAGGCGCAGGCAUCUGGAUUUGGUUUUGAUUCACGUAUUUGUUGUGGAGUCAGCACCUUGCAUUAUAAAGGGGGAACAUAGCUUUGAAAAGUAAUUUACAAUUUCCUCGAAGUAUUUGUAAUUGGAAAUUACGACAAGGAAUUUACGAAGGAAGCUGCAAAACUGAUCCAUUGCUAAUUGCCAUGGUUAUGAAACCCUGCUGCUUGCAAAUAAUUUACAAUCUCCUUAAAGUAUUUGUUACUGGAAAUUUCGAUAAGGAAUUUCAAGGAGAGAAUUCUGCUCGCUGGAUUUGUGGGCAGCCGGAACCGCCGUGACGUUCGGAUGUGGUGAUCCACAUCUGUAGUUUCCAGGAUACCAAACUUGAGAAUACCUGGGCCGCCAAAGGUUUGGGAGAUUCCGCUUCGUGUCGGUGGAAUGAGCUUUAUCGUUUCUGAUGGAGAAGUUGAAAGCAGGAUGACCACAGCGCUGUUACGACGUUCAGGGCUUGUGUAUCUUUGUGACCUGCUCAGUGACCAUCACCGUGUCCAUCGGGACGUCGGGAGGGCCUCGAACGGCGUCAUCCGGAAGCUCGCGGAUGCGCGCGGGACAGCCUCCCUAUUACACCAUUAUUGUGCGCGAGCGCAUUUGCUUCGUAAUAAAUAACUUUGAAUGCCGUCAUCACACUUGUCGACAUCGCCGUCAUGGUGUCACCACAGCAUCUGGCGGAAGUACCAAUGUUAUCGAGCUGAGUACUAUAUUUGAUUUUAUAAUUGAAGAUAAGCAGCAAAAUCGGCAUUUUAAUUUCAGCAGCUCAGUCACUGCAGCGGAAGUUAAUUUAGUUAUAUCCUGCAGACUGCAGUUUUUUGAAAAUAAUUGUAAAACGGGUUAAAGCAUUAUGUAAUUACGCGUAAUUUGUGCACAAAGGCACAGUGUGCUGGUUGCAAGAAAUGACAACUGAAUGUACGCAGUAUUGCUUGCGAAAUACAAAGUAUAAGUUGUACGAUCAAUCGGCAGUCUGUAAGAAUAUAAUUUAUGUUGGCGCGCUUUUUCAGUUAGAAUGCGGAGUGGAAUCCACCUAUCCGGACUGGCAUACGAGCGUGUGUUGUUCACACAUUUGGAAGGAUGGAAUGUUCGUUUGACGGCCGAUUCACGGUUCAAGGUGAGCGAUUUUCCACCGGAAUCUCUUUGGCCUUGAAUUGCGAGAUAGCCCCGCAUGUGCCCUUGACCGCGCAAUAACCAGAAGAACAAAUUCAGAGAUUGAAUUCACUUAUUACUGUCCGGCCCAAGUGAACGAUGCCGCUCCGAAAUGCACACGCCGGAAAACAACAACGCUCGAGUAUGACGAGAUGAAGACGGCCGAUUCACCGCCACAAGAUGGAUGAUGUUGCUGCUGGGUGACUCUACGUAUUCCAAAGCGUUGUCGGCCAUACUACUCUGAUCGGAACUGCGUUUAAGCAGGCACGAGUGCCCAUUUCCACCGGACGCAGUCUCCCGGAUACUCUAUCCGAUUGCAUGCAGCGCAUACAAAACUUGGCGCGCGAUGAAGGACGAGCUGCACAACUACAAACCAAGAAACAUUCUAGUCGGAAACGAGUACCUGGUGACCGUACACGGGACUGAAGUUCAGCGCCUGCACGCCCAGAGCCUGGCGCAACCCACUGGGAUCGCCCUACGUAUAACGAAGUCGGCAGAUUGGCGGAUUUGAACGAGUAGAUCACUACCCACUUCUCGCAGGCGAGCCUUCACUGCCGGGAAGUAAAGGCAAUUAAGGCUUGCCUGGAAGAAGUCGGAGAGCCGGUGCGGAGCCUGCUGAAUGGCCGGACCACGAUAUUCAAGUGCGCUUAAUCCUGAUGAAACAGGACAUUGCAGCCAUCAAGGCCGACGUCACCGGUUUGAAGGCCAGCAUCGCCACGAGAGGCGCCGAUAUCACUGCGAAAUGACCCUGGCGGUGCAGGGCAUCGGUUUGGCUUUAUUCCCUUACCCAGCGGGAGAUUGGCACCGUGUGGUUCGGGCGUGAUAUGGGCAUGCCGGAUCAACAGGUGGCCGCGCUGCUGAUUUUUGCUGUAGUGCCUUUUCCUGAUACCAUUACAGGAAUCACCUUUCCGUUGACGAAAAGCCGAAUCAUCUGCAUGGUGCGCUAAGUGUACACCAAAGCCGUCAUAUACGCGGAGGAUGUUGAAUGCAUAAGCUGCAUGCUCACCGAAUAGAAGCCGUUUAGGUGCCAAAGCUUGUGCGUCUCUGCAACCUGCUCAGUAACCAUCGCCGUGGCCAUCGGGACGUUGGGAGGGCCUCACGGCAUCAUCGGGAGGUGACGCGCGGCUGUCAUCCUCCCGAUCACGCCGCUGAAGGGCGCGAGCCCAUUUACUUCGCAACAAUCGCCUGUCCAAUAGCUAUAUGGACGCCGUCAUCACACUUAUCGACGUUUCCGUGAAGACGUGACCACGGCAUCUGGCGGGAUUAUCGAUGUACUCGAGUAACCCAAGUUUUAACUCUUCGUUGAGAACGCGGUGGUGCAACCAUCAGUCCGGACCGGCCACCUGUGUGCCUUGUGCACACGUCUGAAAAGAUGGAGUGUUCGAGCGGGUGGCUGAUUCACGGUCCAAGGUCAGCGAUUUCCGGCGGAAACGUUUUGGUUUUCAAUUGUGAAAUAGCGUCGCAUGUGCCCUUGACCGCGCAAUAACCAAAAGAGCAAAGUUCGACGAAGCGUACUCGCUUGGUAUCGUCCGGUACACUGAACAACUACGCCGCCGGAAACAUCAACAUUGGAGCAUUACGAGAUAGCAAGGGCUGAUUCACCACUAGUGUGCUGUUGUGGUUGGGCAUUUUUAUUCUUGCGUCCCCUGAUUGUUGGGAUUAUUAAAGCGGCAACCUCAACUUGCAGUUCUAUUAUUUCUGGCUUUUCGAAAGUAUUACCGAAUUAUCCUGUUCAUCUUGGUGGCAGAUAUAAAUAUUAGUGAUGACUACGAGGAUGGGAUCUUGUUGCCUUCGAUUUGCAUACUGUUUGGUAUGUGCAAAAUGUCGGCCGAAUUCUGAAAUUAUGGAGUGGAAUGGAAUUGUCCCAUCUUGCGGAAUUAUCUGCACAAAUGCGUAUAUCGUUUUACCUGAAUAUUAAAUAAACAGCACGAGGACCUUGGACAUUUCCUAGACCAGCCCUCGCGCAGUGUAUUCGGGUGAACAUUGGCACCCCAAAAACAAGAAAGGAUGCUUCCUACGCCGCUGCCACAGGACUUGUGGACAACCCAUCACUACUCAAACAAAAGCACCGAUUCCAGGAGAGCAGCGGCGGUACUGUGAUCGCCCGGAUACUGAAUACUCUUAAGUUAAGGACUACCUGGGCGUUUUAAGCGGCUACCUGUACACCGCGAGGGAACGCCUGGUCCGCAGCAUUAUUCCCACCAACUGUCACAGAGAUCCUUAACAGCUCGACUUGACCUCGAAGGCUAGACACCAACUGUCACCACUGCUUCCUAGGAUGAGCAAGCGAGCAACGGUUUGCUUCCUUAGGUCUUCCAAAUGGUCGACCUUCGCCAUGACCUUUUACGAACUCCUGUAUACAGCGGUGCCACGGUGCCAUUCGACAACUAUCCAUGGGCGUGCCCGGCCACUUACAUUCUCGGUUCGCCAGAUAGCAAUACCCAAAGGAACAAAGUUCAACGAAGCGUACUCGCUUGGUACCGUCCGGCCCCAGAGAACGACUAUGCCGCUCCCAGAUGCACAUACCGGAAAACAUCAGCAAUGGAGCAAGACGAGAUAAGGAUGGCUGAUUCACCAUCCAUCAGACGUACAUGCUGUUACAAGUGCUGUUGAUGUGUAAUGUGCAUACCAAAGCGUUCGUUCCUUAUCAGAUUCGGCAUUUUACAAAAGUACUGCAGAAUUUCCGUUUUCAUGCCAGUCGCGCUCAGCAGGAAAACGAGAACUUCUUUGUGUUGUGCAGCACUGCAGUGUACAUCGGAAUCGCAGGCCAUUUUAUUCCGUUCAUGUACAUCUAUUCCAGCUUGCGUCCCAUGAUUGUCGGGGACUCGGGAUCAUUAAACGACUGCCUCAACUUGGAAUUUUAUUAAGUCUAGCUUGUCGAAAGGAUUACCAAAUUUUCGUGGUUUCUUGUUGACGGAUACAAUGGUUACGAUUAUUGUUACCGCACAUUACGGAACCUGUUGCUUCCCAUUUUUCUGCUGGUUGCCAUGCACAAACCAUCAGAUAAUGUCUGCAAUUAUAAUGUGGCUGGGAGAUGUUGUCUGUUCCAUCUUAUGGAAUUACUUGUACAGAUGCGAAUUCAUUUUCCUGGCAUAUUAAUAACUCCAGCUGCGUAUUAUUAUUUACUCUGGAUGCAUGGGCCUGUCCAGUAUCUGGACCAGAAUACCAUGUACAACGUAAACACACAACGACACAAAGCCGUUCUAAGAAUUUGCGAGCAGGAAUUCGCGACGAGAAGGGAAAUGUGGCUACGUAAAUUUUGGCAGUCGCACACGCCGUUACGUUUCGACGGCGCAUUUUUACUUGCCAACGCGCAUUGGCUGCUGAAUUCGAAACACCAAACUGUCGUUCCCGUUGCUCGUUUGCAUAGGAUCGGGCAGAGAGAUCGCUGGACCGGGGCGGGGCUAGUUAGGUACAACCGUCCCAUGCAACAGAUUCUCGCAGCUAUUUCGCAAUUUCCUAACGAUCUUCAUAUACCGUUUUUUUUUCGCCAUCGUCGAGGAUCUCACCUUUAAGAACCCGACAGUCCUACACUGCCUCCGGAGCAUCCCGCUGGAAUCGGUGUUUGGAGAGAUUUUGUGAUUCGCUGAAGUUUUGAGUUUCCUGUUCCUUCCACGUUUCGCGCUCAAGAAUGUAU